UAUUACCGUGGCUUCUCCAACUCCCAACUGUGCAAAUCAGGCUCAGGCCAGGCACCGCGCAGGCAAGCACCCCCUCCUACGCCGUCACACAUCCCGCCAUCCGGCCAUCCCCUCACCUGCAACAAUCCAUGGCAAUCGAACCAGGGAGAGCUCAGUGAGCGGCGGUCGUCGGCUCAAGGCCCUGUUCUGGGAGACGCCGAGGCGAUCUGCUAUCUUAGCCAGCGAUUUGUUCUAGACGAGUGAGCAACAACUAUUUUGGUAUUGUCAGCUAGUUCAUCUCAUGGAGGCGACACUAGAACAGGCGGCAUUGCGUGCCCCCACAUUGGAACAAGAUCAGCGAGGCGCCGCCGCAUUCACAGGGAAUAGCAGCAGGGACCAUGGAGCUGCCAACAUAGACGCCGAUGCAGGCGAAGAGACACGCGCUCCUGGAUCUGCACCUGCUGUCACGUCAAGGAUUUCAGUGCAGAAGGUGUGCUCAGUCGUGCGCAAGUUUGGUAAAUUUAAGAGGAAUUUAGUCGAAGAGAUAGGCUUCGGUGGGAUGCUAAAGAUGCGGAUGUUAACAAGGCUAAAUUUGAAAUUCAGCGCCUGGCUAAUGGAAAGAGUUGAGUCGAAUGAACUGAGAAUAGAUGAGGAGAGGAUUCUAAAGAUCAAGGAUCAUGAUGUCGAGAAGGUAUUCGGUCUCCCAUGUGGCACCAGAUUGAUAUCUCCAGAUACACCCGAGCCAUCCGAAGCUUGCAUCGAGUUCCUCCGUGUUUCUUCCAAUUUGAGCAAAGGCGCGCAUAGUCUAAAGGCCGCCGAGGCUUACCUCCUGAGAGAUGAUAUCAAUGAAGAUUCCAGCAAGGUCCAGAUAGAUUGCUUCAAGAUAGCUUUUCUUGUUUUUGUUGUUGGACAUCUGUUGGCUCCAUCAACUAAGUAUGACUACAUCGGCAUAGAUUUCUGGGCUGCACUCAACGAUACCUCUCGGAUUAAAGAAUUCAACUGGUGUCGUUAUGUACUCGAGCAUUUGAUCCGAGCUGUUCGGAAGUUGAAAUCAGACAUCCGCAACCGCCACAAGACCAUACAUCUUGUUGGCUGCCACGUUUUUCUGCAGGUAUUCUACUUGGACAAUCUUGAUCUUGGUCCGCUUUCCAAGACACGGGAAGGUCUACCAAGGAUUAGUCUUUUUGACUACGAGUCGGUUAAGAAGAUGACAGAAAUGAUCACUAACGAUGUGGGUGGAGAUACAUCAUUCGCUGGAGCUAACUUUAGAUGUGCUCAAGAUGUAUGCCAAAGCCACUCUGAAGAGCCCUUCAUUCCGGAAACAAACCAAGCAGACAUAGCUUCUGACCUGCCCUGUCACAGCCCAGGUUUUGGUGGUACGGAAGAUCAGCACAGCCCAAUUAAUCCCAUGCUACGAAGCAGCUUCACCGAGACUGGACCAGAAGAUUUCUCCAACCAUCUCCGACUGAAAUACCCGUCACUUGUGGGCCACCCGCUUGCAGCCAUUUUGGAAGAACACAAUGCACGCAUAAUGGAAAAUAUAUCUCAAAUUAGCAACAGUUACCAAGUCGCGAUGUUUAGCUUUAUGGACCAACUUCUUGGCUCUAUAUCUGAGAACCGCUGUUGCUGCAGAGCAUUGGGACGAACCGAUUGUUUACUGAGAUCGCCACAUGCAAUUCCUGGAAACACACAUCUCACACCUAAAAAACGCAAGUCCCGAUUACACUCCACAGUAACAGGUAGAGCCAUACAGCAGAUUUUAGGGCAACGCAAGAAGACCCGGGGAAACUGUACAAGAUAGUAUGCUUUGAUGGUCAACGAUGAACAACCGCUUACCUCACAGUCCUUUAUCAGUUCACACCAACUCGGCAGCAGAGUAGGCCAUAUGAGCAGCUCCUGAUUUAAAGCAUCAACUUGCACACUAUAUGUGAACUUUAGAUCAGCAGCUGUCAUGUCAUUAAGAUCUCCAUUGUCUUCGUAGAAUAGUAUCUUAGGUUUUCAUCAUCAACUUAAUUUCACGUUAGAUGUGAACUUUUAUUGUUCACGGCUUAGGUUGCUUCGUAGUCUCUUCUGCAAUCAGUUGGUGGGGGCACGUAGUGUACUUGUCAAUGUGCCAUUGAGAUUGCACUGACACUUCUCAACAAGUUUUAGACAUGCAUGGUCAUGGCAUCAUUGGCAGGUGUUAAGGCUAUGCGGGAGUGAUACAAAAUGAAUGUGGGUGAAAUUCAGGUGUAACGCACUGACUUUAUGCCGAUGAUACCCAAAUGUGUAAAGCUGGUUCAGGUAUCAGAAAUUAAGAACGGCAGCUGAAUGUCGUAGAAGCCGGAUAUACCGCAGCUAAAACUGCAGAGCUCAACCUAGGGAGUACUAUAGGCACCGGCGCUAAUUAUUAUAUUACCACGUCAAAGUUUUGCCAGGAGGACAGCGAAAACAUUCCGCAUAAGAAGCGUGUGCGGAUUGUACUUAUUCCUGAUUCUUGUCUUCAGCUGGGCCAUCGUUCUGCAUCAACUCCUCGGCAGGCAGACUCAAGCUCUCUACAGAAAAAGAACAACAAUGCUAUGUGAGGCUGGGACUUCAAGUAGUUCACUGAUCAGGUUGUGCAGAUAAGAAGUACCAUCAUUGUCUGCAGAUGCGUAAGAAGAUCGCCGGGCACGUGCAUUUUGUUGAGUAGGCUGAAAGUUGAUUGGUACACUAAAGUGAAGAUGAACUUGGCAGAACAUAUUAUUUUUUGUUGAUGGAAACGACAUAUUAUAUUGCAAGUUGACUUCCAUAUUACUAUGUUCAGCGAUGAAAGAUAGCAUAUUGGGUGCAGCAUGAA